rnacentral:rRNA from 1 species
CGGAGGGUGCAAGCGUUAUCCGGAUUUACUGGGUUUAAAGGGUGCGUAGGUGGGUCUGUAAGUCAGUGGUGAAAUCUCCGAGCUUAACUCGGAAACUGCCAUUGAUACUAUAGAUCUUGAAUUAUCUGGAGGUAAGCGGAAUAUGUCAUGUAGCGGUGAAAUGCUUAGAUAUGACAUAGAACACCAAUUGCGAAGGCAGCUUACUACGGAUAUAUUGACACUGAGGCACGAAAGCGUGGGGAUCAAACAGGAUUAGAUACCCUGGUAGUCCACGCCCUAAACGAUGGAUACUCGACAUCAGCGAUACACUGUUGGUGUCUGAGCGAAAGCAUUAAGUAUCCCACCUGGGAAGUACGAUCGCAAGAUUG